ACUACAUGAAGCUGGAAUCGCUAGUAAUCGCGGAUCAGAAUGCCGCGGUGAAUACGUUCCCGGGUCUUGUACACACCGCCCGUCACACCAUGGGAGCCGGUAAUACCCGAAGUCAGUAGUCCAACCACGUGAGGACGCUGCCGAAGGUAGGAUUGGCGACUGGGGUGAAGUCGUAACAAGGUAAC
rnacentral:rRNA from 1 species